rnacentral:lncRNA from 1 species
GAGAACGUGGGCUGUAUUGAUACUGUGAAUGUUUCAUUUCCAAGCUGUUUAUCCAGGUGUAUUUUUUAAUAGUGUAGGAUAUUUAUGUUAAAUGUCAUUGACACCAAACAUCAAUUAAGAUUAUACACCAAAUGCAAAACCUACUUAUUGUAAAUCACUUCAUUCCCUUUACCUUUUCCACACGUGAGAGUGGUUUGGGGGCUUUUGAUAUUGUUUUGAUGAAAUUUCUUGCAGAGUGGUGCUUUGAAAGCAAUUUCUCAUGAACACUAAUGGUAAUGUGUAUCUGUAUGUCUGGAACCAGCUGCUCAUGUCGGUUUUAAUAAGUUGCCAGUACUUCUAUUGGAUUUGUUUAAGGAUGAGCCUGUGUUAUUUCCUGAGGAAUGAAAUGGACCUUCAGGUGUGUGUCUGUUUUCAUGUAGCAUCAACAGAAGUACCCACCUCAUCAUUCUGGCUGAAAACCUGCUGUGAGGAAGAAGGUUUAGACCAAGCACUUUAUUUCAACCAGGUCUCAAGUUUAAGUCCACAAGCAUCCCUGGAUUUCUAGAGAUAACUACCUGGCCUGCUGCUGCCAGCCAAUGACAAGCUGGGUGCCUGUCC